rnacentral:tRNA from 1 species
CGGAACUUAGCUCAGUGGUAGAGCAACUGGCUUAUAUCCAGCGUGUCGGAGGUUCGAUACCUCCCGUUCCGA